rnacentral:rRNA from 1 species
GACGGCUCAGUAACACGUCGGUAACCUACCCUCGGGAGGGGGAUAACCCCGGGAAACUGGGGCUAAUCCCCCAUAGGCCUGGGGUACUGGAAGGUCCCCAGGCCGAAAGGGAGCCGUAAGGCUCCGCCCGAGGAUGGGCCGGCGGCCGAUUAGGUAGUUGGUGGGGUAACGGCCCACCAAGCCGAAGAUCGGUACGGGCCGUGAGAGCGGGAGCCCGGAGAUGGACACUGAGACACGGGUCCAGGCCCUACGGGGCGCAGCAGGCGCGAAACCUCCGCAAUGCGGGAAACCGCGACGGGGGGACCCCCAGUGCCGUGCCUCUGGCACGGCUUUUCCGGAGUGUAAAAAGCUCCGGGAAUAAGGGCUGGGCAAGGCCGGUGGCAGCCGCCGCGGUAAUACCGGCGGCCCGAGUGGUGGCCACUAUUAUUGGGCCUAAAGCGGCCGUAGCCGGGCCCGUAAGUCCCUGGCGAAAUCCCACGGCUCAACCGUGGGGCUCGCUGGGGAUACUGCGGGCCUUGGGACCGGGAGAGGCCGGGGGUACCCCCGGGGUAGGGGUGAAAUCCUAUAAUCCCGGGGGGACCGCCAGUGGCGAAGGCGCCCGGCUGGAACGGGUCCGACGGUGAGGGCCGAAG